GAAGACGUGACGCCAGUUGCGUUGGAGCCGUCCUUGAAAUACCACCCUUGUAUGUUUGAUGUUCUAACUUAGACCCAUUAUCUGGGUUGAGGACAGUGCCUGGUGGGUAGUUUGACUGGGGCGGUCUCCUCCCAAAGAGUAACGGAGGAGCACGAAGGUGGGCUAAUCACGGUUGGACAUCGUGAGGUUAGUGCAAUGGCAUAAGCCCGCUUAACUGCGAGAAUGACGGUUCGAGCAGGUGCGAAAGCAGGUCAUAGUGAUCCGGUGGUUCUGUAUGGAAGGGCCAUCGCUCAACGGAUAAAAGGUACUCCGGGGAUAACAGGCUGAUACCGCCCAAGAGUUCAUAUCGACGGCGGUGUUUGGCACCUCGAUGUCGGCUCAUCACAUCCUGGGGCUGAAGUCGGUCCCAAGGGUAUGGCUGUUCGCCAUUUAAAGUGGUACGCGAGCUGGGUUUAGAACGUCGUGAGACAGUUCGGUCCCUAUCUGCCGUGGGCGUUGGAAGAUUGAAGGGGGCUGCUCCUAGUACGAGAGGACCGGAGUGGACGAACCUCUGGUGUUCGGGUUGUGUCGCCAGACGCAUUGCCCGGUAGCUAAGUUCGGAAUUGAUAAGCGCUGAAAGCAUCUAAGCGCGAAGCGAGCCCUGAGAUGAGUCUUCCCUGACAGUUUAACUGUCCUAAAGGGUUGUUCGAGACUAGAACGUUGAUAGGCAGGGUGUGUAAGCGUUGUGAGGCGUUGAGCUAACCUGUACUAAUUGCCCGUGAGGCUUAACCAU
rnacentral:rRNA from 1 species